GACGAACGCUGGCGGCGUGCUUAACACAUGCAAGUCGAACGGAAACGCCCUGCUUUUGUGGGGGGCUCGAGUGGCGAACGGGUGAGUAACACGUGAGUAACCUGCCCUUGACUUUGGGAUAACUUCAGGAAACUGGGGCUAAUACCGGUUAGGAGCUCCUGCUGCAUGGUGGGGGUUGGAAAGUUUCGGCGGUUGGGGAUGGACUCGCGGCUUAUUAGCUUGUUGGGGGGGUAGUGGCUUACCAAGGCGUUGAUGGGUAGCCGGUCGGAGAGGGCGACCGGCCACACUGGGACGGCGACAGGGCCCAGACUCCUACGGGAGGCAGCAGUGGGGAAUGUUGGACAAUGGGCGAGAGCCUAGUCCAGCAAUGCCGCGUGUGGGAAGGCGGCCUUCGGGUUGUAAAGCACUUUUGUCCGGAGAGAAAUCCUUGGCCCUAAUACGGUCGGGGGAUGACGGUACCGGAAGAAUAAGCACCGGCUAACUACGUG
rnacentral:rRNA from 1 species